rnacentral:misc_RNA from 1 species
GCCUGAUCCUCAUCACCACUAUCCUGAAGCAGACUCAUCUGGUUGUUGAUGCCCACUAAUGCAAUAUGCAUCAUAUUACCGAAGUUAGCUGGUUCUAAAGAUCCAUUUGGAAUGGCUUCAUGGUGGGUAUGAGUUGUUUCCCUUAAUGCAGCACUAAUAAUUGUGGGCAAAAAUUGCAGAGAUUUGAUGAUAACCAUGGCUCCCCAUUUCCUGUUGCAGUGUUUCUCCACCACUGAUUCAUCUGACAUUUCUUCAGAGCCAUUCUUUCUCCCAAUAUGCUCUUCCAGGAACUCCCAUGAAGCAAUAAGACCAGAUCUAUGCCACUGCAUCCUUACACUCUCCUUUACAAGAUAGGGCUGAUAUAACCUUCGAACAUAAGUUUCCAUUACCCGCCUUUGAAGGGUGUGAUCGCUGUGAUCAAACAGACCCACGAGGGCAUCUUCAACAGCCAAAGGAGCACUCACAAGGUCCUCCAUUCGUUCAUUAAUGGCACUUCUCCUCUUGGGAGUAUCCAUAUUUUCACCAUCCUCCGUAAACAUCUCCAAUUCAGAAAGGGUUCUAGCAAUGGUAGAACGAAGUUCACUCAGUUUCGUUUGUUCCAACAGUUGACUUGCCUUCAGUGCCAACUCAGAAUAAUUUAUAUGGUUAAGUUGAGAGAACCGGAUUAGUUUAUCCCUGUAUGCAGCAGGAUUAGGAUAAACCAGUUGUUCCAUGAGCCGUAGUAUCAACUUAUUUUUGCUCCUGACACCCUGAUGAGAAAGGACAAUGUCCACAACCUUCAAUAGAUCUUUCUUGUAUUGAAGUCUAAGACGUUCAAUCACAUCAGCCUGGAUGUUGUCACUGAACAAUUCUUCAACUGAUAAAUACUCUUCAAAAAGUGACUGAACAAUGACACGGGCAUGACUCUCCCUUCCUCCCUCAUAAGACUUUACAAGACUCAUCAAAGGUUCAACAAGCCUUUCCUGGGUUCCUUUUUCCUUUUCAGGACAGGAGGAUAAAUGGGCCUCAAGAACACUCCUUAACAAUUUGGCAGGAAAGUCUGUGUUUUGAGAGCUUGAAAUCCCCUCAAACUCCCUAUAUUUUGAUUCCAACUCAUUUCUAAGAUCUCUGGGAAGGCGAGUAGCCAAAACAGACAAGCAUUCUUGCCAUUGAAGGAAAGGAAGUUCAGGACUAUCAAGACAAUUGAGCAAGUUUUGUACAACUUCGUCAAUAUUAUGGUCAUAGCCUGCAAGAAUCAUGCGAGCUGCAUUUAGACUUGCAGCACAUUUCUGAUGAACUUUACCAGAAAUAGCAGUUGGAGGCCCCAGUACUGGGAAGCUCCCAUGAAACAGUUCAGCCUUUCGUACAGCUGAAGGGUCAUCGAGAUCAAGCCGGGCUAUAAGCUCACCAGCCUGCAUUGCUUGACCUUCGGACAAUUUAAAUUGAAUUACUCCAGAAGCCGGUGAUAGAAGAGGCAUGCACAUCUUCAUAACUUCAACCUCCGCAUAAGGAUUAUCAGCUUCAAUAUGACUACCAUCUGAAACCAAAUACCUCAGCAGCUUGCAUGGCGUCUCUGCCACUAACUUCGAUGGAUCAUGAUCAUUUUGUAGCAAGCAAGUCCUUCCAUCAAUAAGAAGGCGAGUUCCAGCUGCUUCUUCCUCCGCAUAUAUCACAUGGCUGUUUCCAGCCAACUGCAUCAGUAAACCUCCAUCACGUAAAGUAUGUAUCUCUGCUUCAAUCUCUGACUUAUUCAUCUUCAAUCUAUAGCUUCCUGGGCCCCCUCUAACCAUCUCAAUCAUGUAUUUACUUCCUUCAAUGUUCAACGAAACUUGAGAGUUUACAAGUGAUAUGUGCUUGGGAGGAAUUUGUCCCUUUUCAAGGUAACCAACAUAAUCUGAAACCAUCGCUGCACUGCUAGCAGAUGCUUUAUACAGAGCCCCUCCAACAACAGAGAGGUACCAAGGGGGCCUUUCUGCUC